GACUUUAACCUUAACCGGAAAGAAUUAUAUAAAUUUCCUUAUUUAAUGUCUAUCACCAUUUAUGUUAAUUUCGUAAUAAAAAAAAUCUUGUUGCAAAAGUUAAAGGAUUGAAAGAAAUUUAAUAUGUCAUUCCUUUUUGAAUGUAUUUUACAAUCACUCGAGAUUGCGUUUAAAAUUUUUAUAUACGAUAUUUUGAUUUUACAAUAUAAUCGAGUUUCU
rnacentral:lncRNA from 1 species